GUCCUUUAACCAGAAAAACUCUUGUUUUUCUCCUUUUUUUGCCCCUUAUUCCUAAAUUGUUUGAGCCAUAACCCCCCAAAGUAAAUCCAGACCAUCCCUUUGUGGUAUGGAAACUUGUGGUAAAAUUUCAGAGAGAUUCAUACACUUUAACACAAGGUAUUGUCUGGAAUUUACAAAAAUACUUAUUUGGACCCCUUUUUGGCCUUUAAUUCCUAAACAGUUGGGACCAUAACCCCAAAAAUCAAUCUCGACCUUCCUUUAGUAGUUAUAAACCUUUUGUUAAAACUUUUUUGAUUUCUAUUUACUUAUACUAAAGUGAUUAUCCGGAAACCAUCUGUCUUUGGACGAAGCUGACGACGACAAAGACAACGUGAUACCAAUAUACAACAAUUUUUUAUUGAAUUCUUGUGGUUGUAUAAAAAUCUCCUAUAAAAAAAAUGUCAAAUAUGUCUAAG
rnacentral:lncRNA from 1 species